rnacentral:sRNA from 1 species
UGGCUUAUCUCACUCGGGUGGGGUCUGGUCUGGUCUGGUCUGGAGGGGAUUUCCCGCUCCGUGUGUCUUCCUAGCGGCCCCGGGGGGUGUUGAUGAUGGAUUUAAAAAGAAAGGUAAAAAAAAAAAAAAAAAAAAAACAAACCGCGAUAUCUUUCAGGUGGUUAUUUUCUUUUUUUUUCUUUUUUUUUCUUUCUUUCUUUCUUUUUUUUUUUUACUUAUGUCCUCUGAAUAAUAGAGGGAUAGAGGCUUGAAUCUGCAUGGGUGUUUUUAACAGGACGUAAUACCUACCUACCUACCUAUCUACCUACCUACGUGUACGAGUACAUGUAAUGUACAUGUAUGUAUGUAUGUACAUGUACAUAAGCGAUUGAUUAAUAAC